CCUACGGGUGGCUGCAGUGAGGAAUAUUGGUCAAUGGGCGCAAGCCUGAACCAGCCAAGUCGCGUGAGGGAAGACGGUCCUAUGGAUUGUAAACCUCUUUUGUCGGGGAGCAAAAGACGCCACGCGUGGCGUUCCGAGAGUACCCGAAGAAAAAGCAUCGGCUAACUCCGUGCCAGCAGCCGCGGUAAUACGGGGGAUGCGAGCGUUAUCCGGAUUUGUAGGGUUGAACGGGUGCGCAGGGGGAAGAUCAAGUCAGCGGUAAAAUUGAGGGGCUCAACCUCUUCGAGCCGUUGAAACUGGUUUUCUUGAGUGAGCGAGAAGUAUGCGGAAUGCGUGGUGUAGCGGUGAAAUGCAUAGAUAUCACGCAGAACUCCGAUUGCGAAGGCAGCAUACCGGCGCUCAACUGACGCUCAUGUACGAAAGUGUGGGUAGCGAACAGGAUUAGAUACCCUGGUAGUC
rnacentral:rRNA from 1 species